rnacentral:rRNA from 1 species
UACAGAGGGUGCGAGCGUUAAUCGGAAUUACUGGGCGUAAAGGGCGCGUAGGUGGAUGCGUAAGUCGGAUGUGAAAUCCCUGGGCUUAACCUGGGAAUGGCAUACGAUACUGGGCAUCUAGAGUCGAGUAGAGGGAAGUGGAAUUUCCGGUGUAGCGGUGAAAUGCGUAGAUAUCGGAAGGAACACCAGUGGCGAAGGCGGCUUCCUGGACUCAAACUGACGCUGAGGCGCGAAAGCGUGGGGAUCAAACAGG